rnacentral:rRNA from 1 species
UACGUAGGGUGCAAGCGUUAAUCGGAAUUACUGGGCGUAAAGCGUGCGCAGGCGGCUUUGCAAGACAGAUGUGAAAUCCCCGGGCUUAACCUGGGAACUGCAUUUGUGACUGCAUGGCUCGAGUACGGUAGAGGGGGAUGGAAUUCCGCGUGUAGCAGUGAAAUGCGUAGAUAUGCGGAGGAACACCGAUGGCGAAGGGCAGUCCCCUGGACCUGUAACUGACGCU